rnacentral:SRP_RNA from 2 species
GCCAGGCAUGGUGGCGUGUGCCUGUAAUUCCAGCUACUCAGGAGGCUGAGGCAGGAGAAUCACUUGAACCCGGGAGGCAGAGGUUGCAGUGAGCCGAGAUUGUGCCACUGCAUUCCAGCCUGGGUGACAGAGUGAGACUCUGUCUUAA